UACGUAGGGUGCAGGCGUUAAUCGGAAUCACUGGGCGUAAAGCGCACGUAGGCGGCUUUUUAAGUCAGGGGUGAAAUCCUGGAGCUCAACUCCAGAACUGCCUUUGAUACUGAGAAGCUUGAGUCCGGGAGAGGUGAGUGGAACUGCGAGUGUAGAGGUGAAAUUCGUAGAUAUUCGCAAGAACACCAGUGGCGAAGGCGGCUCACUGGCCCGGUACUGACGCUGAGGUGCGAAAGCGUGGGGAGCAAACAGG
rnacentral:rRNA from 1 species